rnacentral:rRNA from 1 species
UGAGUAACCUGCCCUUAACUCUGGGAUAAGCCUGGGAAACUGGGUCUAAUACCGGAUAUGACUCCUCAUCGCAUGGUGGGGGGUGGAAAGCUUUAUUGUGGUUUUGGAUGGACUCGCGGCCUAUCAGCUUGUUGGUGAGGUAUGGCUCACCAAGGCGACGACGGGUAGCCGGCCUGAGAGGGUGACCGGCCACACUGGGACUGAGACACGGCCCAGACUCCUACGGGAGCAG